rnacentral:rRNA from 1 species
AGCAGCCGCGGUAAUUCCAGCUCCAAUAGCGUAUAUUAAAGUUGUUGCAGUUAAAAAGCUCGUAGUUGAAUUUCGGGGUUCUACCGUCGGUCGGGCUAACAAGUCUGUACUGGUGUGUAGAACUUCUACCUUCUGGGGAACUAUCAUGUUAUUAAUUUAGCGUGGUAGGAAACCAGGACCUUUACCUUGAAAAAUUAGAGUGUUCAAAGACAGGCUUAAGUCUGAAUACAUUAGCAUGGAAUAAUAGAAUAGGACGGUGGUCCUGUUUUGUUGGUUUCUGAAUCACCGUAAUGAUUAAUAGGGAUAGUUGGGGGCAUUAGUAUUCAAUUGUCAGAGGUGAAAUUCUUGGAUUUAUUGAAGACUAAACUUCUGCGUAAAGCAUUUGCCAAGGAUGUUUCAUUAAUCAAGAACGAAAGUUAGGGGAUCGAAGGCGAUCAGAUACCGUCGUAGUCUUAACCAUAAACUAUGCCGACUAGGGAUCGGACGAUGUUAAAUUUUAUUAGACUCGUUCGGCGCCUUA